rnacentral:rRNA from 1 species
GGAAGAAAUCGCAUGGGUCAAUACCCUGUGUGGAUGACGGUACCGGAAUAAGAAGCACCGGCUAACUACGUGCCAGCAGCCGCGGUAAUACGUAGGGUGCGAGCGUUAAUCGGAAUUACUGGGCGUAAAGCGUGCGCAGGCGGUUUGGUAAGUCAGAUGUGAAAUCCCCGGGCUCAACCUGGGAACUGCAUUUGAGACUGCCAAGCUGGAGUUUGGCAGAGGGGGGUGGAAUUCCACGUGUAGCAGUGAAAUGCGUAGAGAUGUGGAGGAACACCGAUGGCGAAGGCAGCCCCCUGGGCCAAUACUGACGCUCAUGCACGAAAGCGUGGGGAGCAAACAGGAUUAGAUACCCCUGGUAGUCCACGCCCUAAACGAUGUCAACUAGGUGUUGGGGAGGGUUAAACCUUUUAGGUGCCGUAGCUAACGCGUGAAGUUGACCGCCUGGGGGAUACGGG